UGAUUAGAUUAAUGAUAUCUUUGUUUUCAUUAAGUUCAAGACAUGGGACUCAAAAACAUGUCAAGGUGGUCAUUUUACAGAGCGAUGAAAGCUACAUUGCACUCUUGGUAAUUGUAAUGGUUUGGUUUAUUUCGAACACGCUUAAGAAAGCUACAUUGAAUGCAUUUGCAUGCACAAUUCAGCAUGUCUGAAUAAGGGUAGGAAGAAGCAGAGCUUAGUGUAUUAAAUUCUAUUUUUUUGUUUUUAUUUACCAGAUUUCAAAUGUCUUAUUGGAGGGGAACAUUCAUAAAGAAUGUGUAAUAGUAAACCACUAACUUUGCAUUAAAAGUUAUGCAUUUUAUGCUCCUAAAAUCUGGAAAAAUAUUCCCAAUAAUGUGAAAAUCUGAAAACACUUUUAUUUAAUUGAGCAUAUGACAACUAAAUGAAUUUUAUCCAGACUCUUAGAUUUUAAUUUUAAUUGUAUCAGCUUUUAUGAUGAUUUUAUUUUAGAUUUUUCAUUUGGAAUUAUGAUGACUUUUAUGUUUAUUUUAUUUUUGGUUUUGCCUGCUAGUGAUUUUUUUUGUACAGCACUUUGAUGUGCCUUGUUCACACAUUGUGCUCUAUAAAUACAUUUGCAGGGUUAGUGGAAAUUUACUGCACAAUUUACUCUAACACACGUUUACUUUCUGACUCCAAUUGCAUUGUAAUCAUUGCGCUCCUCCCUUAACGGAAUUUUACAGAGCACACACCUGUUUAAAGUCACUUUAAACAGGUGUGUGCUCUGUAAAAAUUAAAGUCACUUUAAACAGGUUCUACAUGUUCCCAACUACAUACCAAGAUUCAAAGGCUCAUUUGUGCAGUAGUCCACACGAGAGGUUUUGGUUCGGAGCAUUUUGUCAGUUUUCUCUUCGGACAAAAUGGCCAUCACAACAUUUUUUAUUGAACAAGAUACUCAAAAUAGCUUCACAAAUGGAGAUACCGUCAAGGGCAGAAUCAUCGUGCAGGUCUUGAAGCAAACUGAAAUCCAAUCAAUAACUUUUUUUGCUAAAGGAAAGGAAAUGUUUGCUUCGCCAGUGCAUGGCUCUAACUACCCCUCUCAGGCAGGGCCGGCCCGUGGCAUAGGCUGUAUAGGCAAAUGCUAAGGGCGCCGUCCAUCAGGGGGCGCCACGCCAGUGCCACAAAUGUUGGAGGAAAAAAAUAAAAAAGUUGGUACUAUUAUUUCUAAAUACAUAAAAUAAUCCCACGUUAAUUAAAAUGCAAAGUAAAGCCUAUUUAAUAGAAAUAUUAUUUGUUACAACAUUACACCCCCCCCCCCCCCUCCCCCCGCACGGUGCGCCCCCUCCCUUCCCGUAUCAUGACUCUUUUUGGACGUCACCACAUAAAAAAAUCAACACAAGAUGUCAAAACGGCCAAAACUGCCAGGUGCCCAGGGAAGAAAAAAGAGAAAAGAAGAGGAGUAGAAAGGAGAAAAAGACAGAGGUAGCAGUAAAAAAAAAAGGUCAAAGACAAAGCUAUUCGGUUUCUUGUGAGUAUAUACACUUCACUGCCGAUGUGGGGGGGCGCCACCUAAAAUCUUGCCUAGGGCGCCAGAUUGGUUAGGGCCGGGCCUGCUCUCAGGAGACAGUUUUCAACGUCAAACAAGAUAUCUUGAAAAGGGGUCCCAGAAUGAUUGAUGAAGGAAGACAUGCAUUUCCUUUUUCUUUCAAGAUCCCAAACAGAGAAAUGCCAUCUUCUCCACACUGGGUUGAUUAUAAGUUAAAAGCAAAGCUCAAACAAACAAUGAAGCAGGAGAAAGAUCUUGACAUUGACUUCACAUUCUUUCCAAAAGAAACCAUGGAAGUCCCUUCACUAAUGGUGACAUUUUUUUGUUUUAUUUUUUUACAUUUACAUUCAGGAUUGCAUCCACCUACACUUAUUGAGAUUAUUGAAACAACAUCAAAGAUUGUUGAACAAGAAAAUAUGGAACUAAAACAUUUCUGCAACAAAGAUUACAAAAACCAGGAUUUGGAAAAUGAUAUAGAUCCAGAUACAAAUUUUUUCUCCCACAUUAGUAAUAAUUGUUUUUAUUAUACAGAUGAUCAAUAUAAUAGCAACAUUACAUGCGAUAACAAAUUGUCAAUUGUUCAUUUUAAUAGCAGAAGCUUGUAUGCAAACUACAACAACAUUAAGAACUUUUUGGAACACAUCAACGAACCAUUCAAAGUGAUUGCUGUCACAGAAACAUGGAUUGAUGAUAAAAAAGGAAUAGAUUUUGAUCUGGAGGGAUAUGAACUAAACUACAUCAACAGAACCAACAAAAAUGGAGGAGGAGUAGCUGUGUACGUGAUGAAGAACCUGAACUACAAAGUGGUAAAAAACAUGUAAUUUGCUAUAGAUAAUAUCUUAGAAUGUAUAACCAUUGAAAUAUGUCAGGAAAAAAGCAAAAACAUUUUCAUCAGUUGUAUAUAUAGAUCACCUAAGUCAAGUAUAGAAACAUUUGAAGAAUGGAUCAAGGCUACUUACAUGGACAAUGGUCAAAGAAUAAUGUUCUUAUGUGGUGACUUUAAUAUUGACUUAUUGAACCCUAACAAGCAAAAGUCUAUUGAUGACUUCAUUGAUACAAUGUACAGCAUCAGUUUAUAUCCAAAAAUCACAAAGCCAAGUAGAAUCACAGCACACUGUGCCACGCUUAUUGAUAAUAUUUUUACCAAUGAGUUUGACAAUAACACUACAAGUGGUCUACUUAUAACCGACGUUAGUGAUCAUCUGCCAGUUUUUACAAUAUAUGAUGGACACUACAAGAAGAACAUGGAAGACAAAAGGACAUUUCGAAGACUGUGCACAGAGAAGAGGAUGACUGCUUUCAAAAUUGAGCUACAAAAGCAAGAUUGGGACAAUGUGUACAAUGAAAAAGAGGUUGAUGAAGCAUAUGAACAUUUCUUAAACAAGUUCAUAAUACUUUAUGACAAACAUUGUCCAUGGAUACAACUCAGUAACAAGCAGAGAAAGAAUAAUCAACCAUGGAUGACAAAAGGAUUAAAAAAUGCUUGUAAGAAGAAGAAUACACUAUAUAGGAAAUUUAUAGCACAAAGAACUAUAGAGGCAGAAAUUAAGUACAAAAAGUAUAAAAACAAGUUAACAGACAUACUACGAUCAUGUAGAAAAUAAUAUUACAGUGAAUUAUUGGACAGGAACAAAAAUAAUAAAAGAGCAACAUGGGGCAUCCUCAAUAGCAUUAUUAAAAAUGGCACAAAGAGGGACUACCCUCAAUACUUUUUAGACGGAAAUAAAAAAAAUGACAACAUAAAGGAAGUAGUUGAAAGCUUCAAUAAUUAUUUUGUAAAUAUUGGACCAAAAUUGGAAGAAAGGAUUCCAGACCCAGUUCCAAUUGAGGACUAUAAUGAUACCAUAGAGCGAAAUCCCAACUCCAUGUUCCUCAGUAAUGUGACACAGGAGGAAAUAGUUACAAUCGUGAAAAAAUGUAAAUCCAAGACUUCAACUGAUUGUAACGGAAUUGAUAUGGAAACGAUAAAAAAGGUUAUAGAAGAGAUCUCAGGACCAUUAAUGUAUAUUAGUAAUCUAUCGUUUCAAACAGGUACAUUCCCAAACAAAAUGAAAAUAGCUAAAGUUGCACCAAUUUAUAAGACUGGAGAUAAACAUCAAUUUACAAAUUAUAGACCUGUUUCUUUACUUCCACAAUUUUCUAAAAUCAUUGAAAAACUGUUUAAUAACAGAUUAGAGAGUUUCAUAAAUAAAAAUAGAAUACUCGAAGAGAACCAAUAUGGAUACAGAGCUAAUGUCUCAACUUCAAUGGCUUUAAUUGAAAUUACAGAAGAAAUUACCAAUGCAAUAGACAGUAAAAAAUGUGCAGCAGUUUUUAUGGAUCUAACUAAAGCAUUUGACACAAUUAAUCACAAUAUUUUAAUAAAAAAACUAGAACGAUAUGGCAUCAGAGGGUUAGUCUUAAACUGGAUAAGAAGUUAUCUAACGAACAGGAAACAAUACGUGAAGCUAGGCGAACACACGUCUACAACGCUAAAUAUAUCCUGUGGUGUACCUCAGGGAUCAAUACUAGGACCUAAAUUAUUCAAUCUCUAUAUA